GACGUCUUGGCGCGCGCGAUGUUCGGUGGCCUGCCGGGCCACCCGGUGUACGUGGGCGCCGAUCAUCUCGACGCGAUGACC
rnacentral:tRNA from 1 species